GAUUAAGUUAUUAAGGGCGCACGGUGGAUGCCUUGGCACUAGAAGCCGAUGAAGGACGUUACUAACGACGAUAUGCUUUGGGGAGCUGUAAGUAAGCUUUGAUCCAGAGAUUUCCGAAUGGGGAAACCCAGCAUGAGUUAUGUCAUGUUAUCGAUAUGUGAAUACAUAGCAUAUCAGAAGGCACACCCGGAGAACUGAAACAUCUUAGUACCCGGAGGAAGAGAAAGAAAAUUCGAUUCCCUUAGUAGCGGCGAGCGAAACGGGAAGAGCCCAAACCAACAAGCUUGCUUGUUGGGGUUGUAGGACACUCUAUACGGAGUUACAAAGGACGACAUUAGACGAAUCAUCUGGAAAGAUGAAUCAAAGAAGGUAAUAAUCCUGUAGUCGAAAAUGUUGUCUCUCUUGAGUGGAUCCUGAGUACGACGGAGCACGUGAAAUUCCGUCGGAAUCUGGGAGGACCAUCUCCUAAGGCUAAAUACUCUCUAGUGACCGAUAGUGAACCAGUACCGUGAGGGAAAGGUGAAAAGCACCCCGGAAGGGGAGUGAAAUAGAACCUGAAACCGUGUGCUUACAAGUAGUCAGAGCCCGUUAAUGGGUGAUGGCGUGCCUUUUGUAGAAUGAACCGGCGAGUUACGAUUUGAUGCAAGGUUAAGCAGUAAAUGUGGAGCCGUAGCGAAAGCGAGUCUGAAUAGGGCGUUUAGUAUUUGGUCGUAGACCCGAAACCAGGUGAUCUACCCUUGGUCAGGUUGAAGUUCAGGUAACACUGAAUGGAGGACCGAACCGACUUACGUUGAAAAGUGAGCGGAUGAACUGAGGGUAGCGGAGAAAUUCCAAUCGAACCUGGAGAUAGCUGGUUCUCUCCGAAAUAGCUUUAGGGCUAGCCUCAAGUGAUGAUUAUUGGAGGUAGAGCACUGUUUGGACGAGGGGCCCCUCUCGGGUUACCGAAUUCAGACAAACUCCGAAUGCCAAUUAAUUUAACUUGGGAGUCAGAACAUGGGUGAUAAGGUCCGUGUUCGAAAGGGAAACAGCCCAGACCACCAGCUAAGGUCCCAAAAUAUAUGUUAAGUGGAAAAGGAUGUGGCGUUGCCCAGACAACUAGGAUGUUGGCUUAGAAGCAGCCAUCAUUUAAAGAGUGCGUAAUAGCUCACUAGUCGAGUGACACUGCGCCGAAAAUGUACCGGGGCUAAACAUAUUACCGAAGCUG
rnacentral:rRNA from 1 species